rnacentral:rRNA from 1 species
GAAUAUUGGACAAUGGGCGCAAGCCUGAUCCAGCCAUGCCGCGUGAGUGAUGACGGCCCUAGGGUUGUAAAGCUCUUUCACCGGUGAAGAUAAUGACGGUAACCGGAGAAGAAGCCCCGGCUAACUUCGUGCCAGCAGCCGCGGUAAUACGAAGGGGGCUAGCGUUGUUCGGAAUUACUGGGCGUAAAGCGCACGUAGGCGGAUCGGUCAGUUAGGGGUGAAAUCCCGGGGCUCAACCCCGGAACUGCCUUUAAUACUGCCGAUCUCGAGUCCGGAAGAGGUGAGUGGAAUUCCGAGUGUAGAGGUGAAAUUCGUAGAUAUUCGGAGGAACACCAGUGGCGAAGGCGGCUCACUGGUCCGGUACUGACGCUGAGGUGCGAAAGCGUGGGGAGCAAACAG